GCAAUGGGCAACCGGCGAACGGGUGCGUAACACGUGAGCAACCUACCGAAUUGUGGGGGAUAGCCGGCCCAACGGCCGGGUAAUACCGCAUACGAUCGAGACCAGGCAUUUGGACUCGAUGAAAUCUACGGAGCAAUUCGAGGGGCUCGCGGCCUAUCAGCUAGUUGGCGAGGUAACGGCUCACCAAGGCAACGACGGGUAGCUGGUCUGAGAGGAUGGCCAGCCACAUUGGGACUGAGAUACGGCCCAGACUCCUACGGGAGGCAGCAGUGGGGAAUCUUGCGCAAUGGCCUAACGGCUGACGCAGCGACGCCGCGUGAGGGAUGACGCUCCUCGGAGUGUAAACCUCUUUUGCCCGGGACGGAUUGCCAGUUUUCACUGGCUUGACGGUACCGGGUGAAUAAGCACCGGCUAACUCCGUGCCAGCGGCCGCGGUAAUACGGGGGGUGCGAGCGCUGUCCGGAAUCACUGGGCGUAAAGGGCGCGUAGGUGGUCUGAUAAGGGUGUUGGUGAAAGCCCGGGGCUCAACCCCGGGUCGGCCGUGCCGACUGUUGGACUAGAGUGCUGUAGGGGCAGGCGGAAUUCCGGGUGUAGCGGUGGAAUGCGUAGAGAUCCGGAGGAAGACCGGUGGCGAAGGCGGCCUGCUGGGCAGUUACUGACACUGAGGCGCGACAGCGUGGGGAGCAAACAGGAUUAGAUACCCUGGUAGUCCACGCCGUAAACGAUGGGUACUAGGUGCCUGGGGGAGCGACCUCUUGGGUGCCGGCGCUAACGCAG
rnacentral:rRNA from 1 species